UACGUAGGGUGCAAGCGUUGUCCGGAAUUAUUGGGCGUAAAGAGCUCGUAGGCGGUCUGUCGCGUCGGCUGUGAAAACCCGGGGCUCAACCCCGGGCCUGCAGUCGAUACGGGCAGACUAGAGUGCGGUAGGGGAGAAUGGAAUUCCUGGUGUAGCGGUGAAAUGCGCAGAUAUCAGGAGGAACACCGGUGGCGAAGGCGGGUCUCUGGGCCGUAACUGACGCUGAGGAGCGAAAGCGUGGGGAGCGAACAGG
rnacentral:rRNA from 1 species